rnacentral:misc_RNA from 1 species
UUAAGAACAUACUCAAUAUUGGUACAUGGAGAAGAGGAGAAUCGAACCGAGACUGGCCUCAGGUUUAUUUUGCCCUUGUCACUGGACUAAAGCCAAGCGGGCUAUUAUUAGGUCUCUAUAUCCCACAACAGAUGUAGAGCAUAUGCAUAUGAGAUAUAAGUCUUGCUCAACAAUAACUUUUCAGAUAGUUUUUUAGAUAGUAUUUAUUAUUUUAACCUUAUCUCUCUUAUUU